rnacentral:rRNA from 1 species
UACGGAGGAUCCAAGCGUUAUCCGGAUUUAUUGGGUUUAAAGGGUGCGUAGGUGGCCUGUUAAGUCAGGGGUGAAAGACGGUAGCUUAACUAUCGCAGUGCCCUUGAUACUGAUGGGCUUGAAUGAACUAGAGGUAGGCGGAAUGCGACAAGUAGCGGUGAAAUGCAUAGAUAUGUCACAGAACACCAAUUGCGAAGGCAGCUUACUAUGGUUUUAUUGACACUGAGGCACGAAAGCGUGGGGAUCAAACAGG